AGCUCCAAUAGCGUAUAUUAAAGUUGUUGCGGUUAAAAAGCUCGUAGUUGGAUUUCUGUGGAAGACGGCCGGUCCGCCUUUUGGGCGUGUAUCUGGUGCGGCUUUUGCAUCCUCGUGUGGAACGUUGCGGUGCUUCAUUGCAUUGCGCGGUAUGCACGACUUUUACUUUGAGGAAAUUAGAGUGUUCACGGCAGGCAAUCGCCUUGAAUAUAUUAGCAUGGAAUAAUACUAUAGGCUUAGCGCUAUUUAUUGGUUCUAAAGCGUUGAGAAUGGUUAAUAGGGAUAAUUGGGGAGACUUGUACUAAAGCGUCAGAGGUGGAAUUCUUAGAUUGCUUUAUGACAAACUACUGCGAAAGCAUUUCUCAAGGAUGUUUUCA
rnacentral:rRNA from 1 species